AACGUACGCUGGCGGCGUGCUUAACACAUGCAAGUCGAACGAGAACAUUUCCUUCGGGAAAUUAGUAAAGUGGCGCAAGGGUGAGUAACACGUGAAUAAUCUGCCCUCGAGAUCGGGAUAACAUGGUGAAAACUAUGCUAAUACCGGAUAAGACCACAUUUCGCAGGAAAUGCGGUUAAAGGAGACUCAAUCUGCACUCGAGGAUGAGUUCGCGCAACAUUAGCUUGUUGGUGAGAUAAAAGCUCACCAAGGCUACGAUGUUUAGCCGGCCUGAGAGGGUGAACGGCCACACUGGAACUGAGACACGGUCCAGACUCCUACGGGAGGCAGCAGUGGGGAAUCUUGCACAAUGGGGGAAACCCUGAUGCAGCGAUGCCGCGUGAGUGAAG
rnacentral:rRNA from 1 species